GAUGAACGCUGGCGGCGUGCCUAAUACAUGCAAGUCGAGCGAACAGACGGGGAGCUUGCUCCUCUGACGUUAGCGGCGGACGGGUGAGUAACACGUGGAUAACCUACCUAUAAGACUGGGAUAACUUCGGGAAACCGGAGCUAAUACCGGAUAAUAUAUUGAACCGCAUGGUUCAAUAGUGAAAGACGGUUUUGCUGUCACUUAUAGAUGGAUCCGCGCCGCAUUAGCUAAUUGGUAAGGUAACGGCUUACCAAGGCAACGAUGCGUAGCCGACCUGAGAGGGUGAUCGGCCACACUGGAACUGAGACACGGUCCAGACUCCUACGGGAGGCAGCAGUAGGGAAUCUUCCGCAAUGGGCGAAAGCUUGACGGAGCAACGCCGCGUGAGUGAUGAAGGUCUUCGGAUCGUAAAACUCUGUUAUUAGGGAAGAACAAAUGUGUAAGUAACUAUGCACGUCUUGACGGUACCUAAUCAGAAAGCCACGGCUAACUACGUG
rnacentral:rRNA from 1 species